rnacentral:rRNA from 1 species
GACGAACGCUGGCGGCGUGCCUAACACAUGCAAGUCGAGCGAGGGGAGUUCUUCGGAACAAACCUAGCGGCGGACGGGUGAGUAACACGUGGGUAACCUGCCUCAAAGAGGGGGAUAGCCUUCCGAAAGGAAGAUUAAUACCGCAUAAUCCAUUGUUUCCGCAUGGGAGUGAUGGUAAAGAUUUAUCGCUUUGAGAUGGACCCGCGGCGCAUUAGCUAGUUGGUGAGGUAACGGCUCACCAAGGCCACGAUGCGUAGCCGACCUGAGAGGGUGAUCGGCCACAUUGGAACUGAGACACGGUCCAGACUCCUACGGGAGGCGGCAGUGGGGAAUAUUGCACAAUGGGCGCAAGCCUGAUGCAGCAACGCCGCGUGAGUGAUGAAGGCCUUCGGGUUGUAAAGCUCUGUCUUUUGGGACGAUAAUGACGGUACCAAAGGAGGAAGCCACGGCUAACUACGUGCCAGCCGCCGCCGUAAAAC